CAACGCCGCGUGAGGGAUGAAGGCCUCUGGGCUGUAAACCUCUUUUAUCAAGGAAGAAGAUCUGACGGUACUUGAUGAAUAAGCCACGGCUGAUUCCGUGCCAGCAGCCGCAGUAAUACGGGAGUGGCAAGCGUUAUCCGGAAUUAUUGGGCGUAAAGCGUCCGCAGGCGGUCUUGAAAGUCUGUUGUUAAAGCGUGGAGCUCAACUCCAUUUCAGCAAUGGAAACUAGAAGACUAGAGUGUGGUAGGGGCAGAGGGAAUUCCCGGUGUAGCGGUGAAAUGCGUAGAUAU
rnacentral:rRNA from 1 species